rnacentral:rRNA from 1 species
AGGGCACCACCAAGAGUGGAGCCUGCGGCUUAAUUUGACUCAACACGGGGAAACUUACUAGGUCCAGACAUAGCAAGGAUUGAUAGACUGAGAGCUCUUUCUUGAUUCUAUGGGUGGUGGUGCAUGGCUAUUCUUAGUUGGUGGAGCGAUUUGUCUGGUUAAUUCCGAUAACGACCGAGACCUCAGCCUGCUAACUAGCUACGCGGAGGCAUCCCUCUGCGGCUAGCUUCUUAGAGGGACUAUGGUCGUUUAGGCCACGGAAGUUUGAGGCA